rnacentral:rRNA from 1 species
AUGGCCCAGCCCAUGACAGGCAGCAGCAAAGGGUGCCUUUCCAGAGCAAGGUGGUUGAGAUGGGUGCCCAUGCGCCCAUCCAUCAGUCCCCUCAACAAUCUUCAUCAAGCUUGGGCGGCUGCACCAUUUGCCAUGGUGCAGCCCAUGACAGGCAGCAGCCAUAAAGGGCGCCUCUUCAGAGCAAGGUGCUUGAGAUGGGCGUCCAUGCGCCCAUCCAUCAUCACAACAGCUGCUGAGUACAUCCAUUCCAUCCAUGGUGUUUGCCCAUUCUUGGCAAAGGAAGAAGUGAUGCAACUCCAAUGGAGGUGGAGCAGCCCACAAUGUGCCCAUUGUUGGCAAAAGAAGGAAGAGAUGCAACUCCAAUGGAGGUGGAGGGGCCCACGAUGCUAUAUGUUGUAUAUUUUUUAUUUUUUAUUUAUUGAUGCCUGGUGGUGA